rnacentral:RNase_P_RNA from 3 species
CCAGUCGGCUGGGCGACCGCUGCCGCCAAUGUCGAAAGACGGCGGGGGAGGAAAGUCCGGGCUCCACGGAGAAACGGUGCCGGGUAACGCCCGGCGGGGGCGACCCUAGGGAAAGUGCCACAGAGAACAGACCGCCUCGCGGCCCAUCCUCGCACCGGCGCCUCGUGCGCUGGCGGAUGGCGUCUGCGGGGUCAGGGUGAAACGGUGGGGUAAGAGCCCACCGCGCUUCAUGGCAACAUGGGCGGCACGGCAAACCCCACCGGGAGCAAGACCGAAUAGGAACGACGUGGCGGGCGACCGCCGGCCUCUCCGGGUCAGUCGUUCGGGUGGGUUGCUCGAGGCGGCGCGCAAGCGUCGUCCCAGAGGAAUGGUCGCCGGGCGGCGAGAGCCGCUCACAGAACCCGGCUUAUAGGCCGACUGGCACU